GCCUUCCCAACAAAACUUACCUGUAGGCCUUCAAGCAGCCAUCACCAAAGAGUGCGUCAAAGCUCAUCUUUCCCCCAAAUCCAAAAAUACWUGCGACUCCCUCACCCAUAACAGGACAACCUAUCAAAAAUAGGAGUAUUAAUGCUAAAAUAAGUAACUAAGGACCCCCUUCUAAAGCACAAACUUACAUCUCACAUUAUUAACAGACCAACUAAUACCUAAACAACCUCUGCAAGAUCCAAUAUUAAACAACUCUGUUAAACCAACUCAGGAGUGCUCAAUUAGAAAGAUUCAAACCUGCAAAAGGAACUAGGCAAAUUCCAAGGCCCGACUGUUUACCAAAAACAUAGCCUUCAGCACACCAAGUAUUGAAGGUGAUGCCUGCCCAGUGACACUAAGUUCAACGGCCGCGGUAUCCUAACCGUGCAAAGGUAGCGCAAUCAAUUGUCCCAUAAAUCGAGACUUGUAUGAAUGGCCAAACGAGGUCUUAACUGUCUCUUGCAGGUAAUCAGUGAAAUUGAUCUCCUCAUGCAAAA
rnacentral:rRNA from 1 species